UACGAAGGGGGCUAGCGUUGCUCGGAAUCACUGGGCGUAAAAGGGUGCGUAGGCGGGGUCUUUUUAAGUCAGGGGGUGAAAUCCUGGAGCUCAACUCCAGAACUGCCUUUGAUACUGAGGAUCUUGAGUUCGGGAGAGGUGAGUGGAACUGCGAGUGUAGAGGUGAAAUUCGUAGAUAUUCGCAAGAACACCAGUGGCGAAGGCGGCUCACUGGCCCGAUACUGACGCUGAGGCACGAAAGCGUGGGGAGC
rnacentral:rRNA from 1 species